rnacentral:antisense_RNA from 1 species
UCCACACACAGGAACAGCAUGUUUCCAGCAACAGAAGGAAGCACGAGGUUACACAGGCUUCAGAGUCAGGCUGCCAGGGAUCAAAUCCCAGCACCUCCUUUUUCCUGUGAUGGGGCUUGUUCAGCUUCUUUGAUAUCUCUAAACUAGGGAUAACAACAGCACCCGCUUGAGACUAUUGGGUGGAUUGAAUGAACUCAUCUAUGUAAAAUGCCCAGUACAUAAUAAGCAUUCAUCAGCUGUUAUAAUUAAGAUGAGGAAGCAGACAGCAAAAAAGGCAAGCAGGCAAAGUCCCUAUCGCCCAAUCUACCCAGAAACCAACAGACCCCGGGGCACUUAGAGCUGGGAAGGGCUAGAAAGCUUACCACGUUUUUUUCUUUGAAGUUGAACACUUAUUUGAACGAUGUCUCUAACAUCGAUUUAAGGGUAUCUUUGAUCUUUGUGGAAACAAAGAAGAAUGCUUUAAGACUGC